rnacentral:tRNA from 1 species
AUUAGAGUGGUGUAGUGGAAGCAUGGUGGCCCCAUAACCCAUUGGACCAGGUUCAAAUCUUGGCUCUGAUA